rnacentral:rRNA from 1 species
UAGUCUCGCACAGAUGCAUAUCAAUAAGCGGAGGAAAAGAAACUAACAAGGAUUCCCUCAGUAACGGCGAGUGAAGCGGGAAGAGCUCAAAUUUGAAAUCUUGAAAGGUCACCUUUCACGAAUUGUAGUUUAAAGAAGUGUUUUCUGUUACGAUCGUAAUAUAAGUUCUUUGGAAUAGGACAUCACAGAGGGUGAGAAUCCCGUCUAUGAUUGCGAUUUGUAGCUUUGUGAUACACUUUCAAAGAGUCGGGUUGUUUGGGAAUGCAGCCCAAAACGGGAGGUAAAUUUCUUCUAAGGCUAAAUAUUGGCGAGAGACCGAUAGCGAACAAGUACCGUGAGGGAAAGAUGAAAAGAACUUUGAAAAGAGAGUUAAAUAGUACGUGAAAUUGUCAAAAGGGAAGCGUUUAACACCAGUGUUGUUUUCUGAAAAUCAACCUCUGUUAGCUUUAUGCAUGUUUGUUUAGACCUAAUCAGCUAUCUUGCAUGUUCUAUUGUUUGCAGUGGUGCACUUUUCAGUUUACAGGUCAACAUCAGUUUUUUUUACCGCAAAAAAGUUAAAGAAAGGUAGCUCAUGGCUCCGGUCGUGAGUGUUAUAGUCUUUUUCCUAUGCGGUAGGAGAGACUGAGGUCUGCAGUGUAGGCUAUUUGGCUAGAUACUCAGGUGCUAUGUGAUACCAUUUCAUAAACAACUUGUUGAUUAUGUUUUGUCUAUUGCAUACUCGCUUGUACUAUCAUACCUACGCUUAGGAUGUUGAAGAUGUAGCACAUCAU